rnacentral:sRNA from 1 species
AUAGAUAUAGUAUUGAGUAUGGACUCAUGCUCAGAAACGAAUAGAUCUAGUAAACAGAAAGAUACUUAUUUCAAUUUGUUUUCCGAGUGGUUUAAAACAUUGGAAACAACGUUAGCCAUAGUAAAAAUGUUAAAAAAGCAUGAACUUUCAAAUUUGGGACGAUUAAAUCUUCAACUACGCGGAAGACAAAUAAAUCACAAAGUUUCUGUUGACUUUAAAUUUAAAUCGCAAAGUUUCGGUUGACCAGUCAUUUUAGACAUGUCGUUAAGUUGCUUAACAGAGAAUGUUAACGCUGUUUAAGUGUCGUUAGUUGCCUCUGUUAUCUCAAAAACGACACAGUUUACUGUUGAAACAAAACGGCGUCGUUUUGUAACUUGAAACAAAUAAAGACCUAAAUCCCAAAUCGAAAUUCAUUUCCCCCAAAUCAAAAAUCAUCUUCUAACCCUAGAAUUUCUUCUUCUUGCUCGUGAUUCUUUCUGUUCGAAUUAGCUCGGGAUUCUUUCUCUCUGUUCCGAUGAGUUCAAGCUCUGCCACAUCCGGUGUCGUCGGAGAUCGUGGUGUCCCGUGUAAGUGUGUGUGUGGUUUAAGUGUCACAGUUUUCACAUCGAAAUCACAAGAUAACUCAGGACGUCCGUUCUUCCGUUGUAUUAGCAAACGAGAUGCUAAGACGUGGACAAACAACAGGAAUGUAAGUUAAGUAUGAUUGUGUAACUUGUGGUUUAGAUCUUGCAAUGUAAGCUUACAAUUUGUAAUAUUUUUUGUGGCAUAGGGGCAUUUGUUUAAGUGGGUCGAAGAAGCAGUGUUUGAAGAGGUUGAAGAUGCUUUGCCAAGAUUAGCAGUAAUUGCAAACGAGAUUAACAAAGCCAAAUCAGAGGCACUUGAGUUAAAGGCUAUGAUUCAGGAAAUAUUAGAAGAAGCAUUGAUCAAUAAGAUGCAAAUCCGAAGAAAUUGGUGCGGCUUGAAACUGGGUUUUGUGUGGCUUUUUGUCAUCACCAUUGUGAUUGUUUACGUGUUGUUUGGUCAGGAUAAUGAGAAGAAACUUGUAGCAGGGUACUAGUGUAGUGUAUGCAUUGUAGUAUUGUAGUAUUGUAGUAGUUAUGCACUUGUAUGGAGCUUGUAUUGUAUGCAUUGUAUGGAGCUUGUAUUUGUGAAACAUGACUUUGAUUAAUACAUGUUUGGUUUGGUUCGAACUUGUUGCAGUAAGCGAAUUAGAAUGACACCAAUUUUGCAUACAAACUGAAACCAUGUUUUGCAUACAAACUGAAACCAUGUUUUGCAACCAAAAGAAACACCAAUCCAUGUUUUGAAACAAAGACAAACACAACCAGCAGAUUCUAAUCCGACUAAAACACAAAAACAAAUAGAACCUGCAGUUUCAGUUUCUAAACCGUGAAACACAAAAAACAAACCAAACCAACCAAUCAAACAAUCCUAGUUUGAACAAUUAAACCAUGCUUCCAACCCUUGUAAUCCUCUCCCUCCUCUCUGUGACCCUCCUCUCCCUCCUCUCUGUGACUCUCCUCUUCUUACACUCCGUGUUCCUCUUGUCUCAGUUGGUGCUGCUUGAGAUGGUGCUUCUUGAGAUGGUUGGGAAAGAGAUUGUGCUCCUUGAGAUGGUGCUCCUUGAGAUGGUGCUUCCUGAGAUGGUUGUGAAAGAGGUGCUCCGUGAAAAACUUGAGAUGGUGCUCCGUGAGAAGAUGGUGCUCCUUGUGCUUGCGGUUCUUGCCAUGUUUGACCUUGUCCAAAAAAGACCAUCCUCGGAUCCUGUUUUCAAUCAACCAAAAUAUCAAAACUAUUCGCAGAAUUUUUGUGAACAUCAAGAUGUUAAAAUGUUAAAGAGGAUACCUUGUCUUUUCUUGGUCGACCCCUUGGUCUUUUAGCUGGAGGUGCAACUGUCUCGUUCUUACAUCCUUGCUUAUUGUGUCCUUCUCCUUGACAAUUUGAACAAGUCAUCACUCGGUGCAAACGUGAUAACUCGGUGGUACUUGAGCUAGAGGCAGUUGAAGAUUCAAAAACGCCUUUUCUCCUAGCAUGAUUCUUUGGUCUUCCUGGAUUGCCUCUUCUCCAUGGAGGUGGUAACACUCCUACUUUAUUGACUGUUGGCCACAAAAGCUUACCUUGAACAGGCCCAAUACCGUCAUUGUAUGUUUGCUUCCACAUACUAGUUGUGUACCAGUCACUAACAUAAUCCUCCACUUUUUGACGCUUUCCUAUUAUGACAGAGGCAGCAUGAAUACAUGGGAUACCUGUCAUCUGCCACUUCAUACAACCACAAGUGUUAUUAUUCAUAUCUACAGUGAACGAAUCCACUGGACCCACCUUGAUCUCAUGUUUAUUGUGCCUAGCCAUCCAUCUUUGACAAACCUGUGACCCAGCAAUCAUCUUCUCUAUCUCAGCAUGUGCCCUUUUUGUGAAUCGAGUCCUCAAUCUAUCAGCAAUCACAUACCUCUUCUCAUUACGCACCAUACACUGCCUCCUAAUGUCUUCCAACAUGUCAAGUAAUGGCUUCCUCCUUGCUUCUCUAAUUGUUCUAUUGAAGGACUCACUGAGAUUGUUUAGAUUGUCAUUGCAGCAGCUCCCAAUCUUGAAGAAAGCUCUAGACCAUGUCACAGGCAGAGUCUUGAGUAACAACUCAAAAGCACUUGCAUUGUAGCUCUUGAGUGCUCGCAUAUGAGCACCAAAUUCGCCUUCAGUGUAGCUCCUAACAAUUUUCCAGAAGAGGCGUUGAAGCUCCAUAUCAUGGCUAUUUCUCUUCCAGUUUUCCAUGAUGUGCCUUGCACAUUGUCUAUGCUCAGCUUGUGGAAUGACCGAAUGAAUUGCUUUCACUAAACCCUGAAAUAGAUGAUAGAAAGAAGAUAUAAUUAAACAAGGCAAUCGAAAGCUGAAACUAACUAAAUUAAGUUAGUAAGACUUACACUUUGUUUGUCUGAUAUUAUUGCUACGUUUCUUCCAUCUUGAAGAUCCAAAGUUCUUGAUAGCAUCCUUACAAACCAAUCCCAGUUGUCAUCAUUCUCAAUCUCUACAACUGCCCAAGCUAUUGGUACUAUUCUAUUAUCUCCAUCUCUUCCAGUAGCAGCCAAUAAAUGUCCCUUUAUGUCCCAUUU